UACGUAGGGCGCAAGCGUUGUCCGGAAUUAUUGGGCGUAAAGAGCUCGUAGGCGGCUUGUCACGUCGGGUGUGAAAGCCCGGGGCUUAACCCCGGGUCUGCAUUCGAUACGGGCAGGCUAGAGUGUGGCAGGGGAGACUGGAAUUCCUGGUGUAGCGGUGAAAUGCGCAGAUAUCAGGAGGAACACCGGUGGCGAAGGCGGGUCUCUGGGCCGCAACUGACGCUGAGGAGCGAAAGCAUGGGGAGCGAACAGG
rnacentral:rRNA from 1 species